UUGGGUUUUCAAGUUUAGGUUUAGGUUAAGGUUAGGGAGUUGAGAUUAGGAUUAGGUGUAGGUGUAGGUUUAGGUUUAGGGAUUUGAGAAUACAUUUACGCUUUAAGUUUAGGUUUAGGUUUUACGUUAUAGGUUAAGGUUUAGGUUUUAGGUUUAGGUUAAGGUUAGGUUAUAGGUUAUAAGUUUAGGUUUUGGUUUAGGUUAAGGUUAUAGGUUUAGGUUUAGGUUAAGGUUUAGGUUUAGGUUAUAAGCUAUAGUUUAGGGAAUUGAGAAUAGGUUAAGGGUUAGGUUUAGGAAAUCGGGUUUGGGUUCGGGAUCGGGUUUAGGCUUGGGUUUUCAUGUUUAGGUUUAGGUUUAGGU